GAUGAACGCUGGCGGCGUGCUUAACACAUGCAAGUCGAACGGAAAGGCCCAAGCUUGCUUGGGUACUCGAGUGGCGAACGGGUGAGUAACACGUGGGUGAUCUGCCCUGCACUUCGGGAUAAGCCUGGGAAACUGGGUCUAAUACCGGAUAGGACGAUGGUUUGGAUGCCAUUGUGGAAAGUUUUUUCGGUGUGGGAUGAGCUCGCGGCCUAUCAGCUUGUUGGUGGGGUAAUGGCCUACCAAGGCGUCGACGGGUAGCCGGCCUGAGAGGGUGUACGGCCACAUUGGGACUGAGAUACGGCCCAGACUCCUACGGGAGGCAGCAGUGGGGAAUGUUGCACAAUGGGCGCAAGCCUGAUGCAGCGACGCCGCGUGGGGGAUGACGGCCUUCGGGUUGUAAACUCCUUUCGCUAGGGACGAAGCGUUUUUGUGACGGUACCUGGAGAAGAAGCACCGGCUAACUACGUG
rnacentral:rRNA from 1 species